rnacentral:rRNA from 1 species
UACGUAGGGCGCAAGCGCUGUCCGGAAUUAUUGGGCGUAAAGAGCUCGUAGGCGGCUUGUCACGUCGGGUGUGAAAGCCCGGGGCUUAACCCCCGGGUCUGCAUUCGAUACGGGCUAGCUAGAGUGUGGUAGGGGAGAUCGGAAUUCCUGGUGUAGCGGUGAAAUGCGCAGAUAUCAGGAGGAACACCGGUGGCGAAGGCGGAUCUCUGGGCCAUUACUGACGCUGAGGAGCUGAAAGCGUGGGGAGCGAACAGG